rnacentral:rRNA from 1 species
ACGUAGGGGGCAAGCGUUAUCCGGAAUUAUUGGGCGUAAAGAGUGCGUAGGUGGUUUUUUAAGCGUGAGGUGAUAGGCAAUAGCUUAACUAUUGUAAGCCUUGCGAACUGGAAGACUUGAGUGCAGGAGAGGAAAGUGGAAUUCCUAGUGUAGCGGUGAAAUGCGAAGAUAUUAGGAGGAACACCAGUGGCGAAGGCGACAUACAGGACAGAAACUGACACUGAGGAAAGAAAGCGUGGGGAGAAAAAAG